rnacentral:tRNA from 1 species
GGACUGUGGCUCAGUGGUAGAGUGCUCGCCUAGAACGUGCAAGGGCCUGGGUUCGAUCCUCAGCACCA